rnacentral:rRNA from 1 species
UGGGGAAUCUUGCGCAAUGGCCGAAAGGCUGACGCAGCGACGCCGCGUGUGGGAGGAAGCUCUUCGGGGUGUAAACCACUGUUGCCCGGGACGAACGAUGAGCAUUCGCUCAUGUGACGGUACCGGGUGAGGAAGCACCGGCUAACUCUGUGCCAGCAGCCGCGGUAAUACAGAGGGUGCGAGCGUUGUCCGGAAUCACUGGGCGUAAAGGGCGCGUAGGCGGCUUGAUAAGGUUGCGGUGAAAGCCCGGGGCUCAACCCCGGGUCGGCCGUGGCAACUGUCGAGCUGGAGCACUGUAGAGGCAGGUGGAAUUCCGGGUGUAGCGGUGGAAUGCGUAGAGAUCCGGAAGAACACCGGUGGCGAAGGCGGCCUGCUGGGCAGUGGCUGACGCUGAGGCGCGACAGCGUGGGGAGCAAACAG